UUGACACAAUUAUAGCAAAAUUUUUUUACUGGUUAAUCAGAAGAGCAGGUCAGUGCCAAUGACUUUCACAGGUCUUUGCUCCAACUGGCAAAACUGAUAUGGAUAAUAUUCAGCUUGAACAGCUGGCUGACAUCUACAGGAAAAGCGUAAGUAGAGAGUAAAGUUCAGAGGGUUGAAGUUCUGAAGAAGAACAAUUGAAUGUUGUGUUUACUGUGGGAACUUAAAGAUCAUUAAAAUGAAAUGUCAAGUGGACGAAACUCAGCAUUUUCAACACUGGUGACACUUUGAUAGCAUUAAUAUCAUAAAAUUUGAGCUGACAAAUAGAAGCCUAAACACCUAGGAGCCAUUUCAAAUUUCUUUCAACUCUCUACUCUGUCUUUGAACACCUGAUGAGAUGGACAUAUCCUACAUGCCACAAAAUUGUGCUGGUGCCACAUAAAAAGCACUGGUGCUGGGGUCACAUAAAAAACAAUGGUGCUGGUGCCCCAUAAAGAGUAGAGGUGAUGGUGCCACAUAAAAAGCCCCCAAUACACUCGGUAAAGCAGUUGGCAUCAAGAAGGGCAUCCAGCUGUAGAAACUGU